CCUACGGGUGGCAGCAGUGAGGAAUAUUGGUCAAUGGGCGAGAGCCUGAACCAGCCAAGUCGCGUGAGGGAGUACUGCCCUAUGGGUUGUAAACCUCUUUUGUCGGGGAGCAAAAGCCGGACGUUUCCGGCUGUGAGAGUACCCGAAGAAAAAGCAUCGGCUAACUCCGUGCCAGCAGCCGCGGUAAUACGGAGGAUGCGAGCGUUAUCCGGAUUUAUUGGGUUUAAAGGGUGCGCAGGCGGAUUUUUAAGUCAGCGGUCAAAUCGUGGGGCUCAACCCCAUCCAGCCGUUGGAAGUGGGGAUCUAGAGUGUGCGAGAGGUAUGCGGAAUGCGUGGUGUAGCGGUGAAAUGCAUAGAUAUCACGCAGAACCCCGAUUGCUGGACAGUAACUGACGCUGAGGCGCGAAAGCGUGGGGAGCAAACAGGAUUAGAUACCCCAGUAGUC
rnacentral:rRNA from 1 species